rnacentral:lncRNA from 1 species
AGUAGUGUGGGUGGACGAGGACAGCGGGUGGAACUGGUCCUUCUGUGACUUUGCAGCCCCGGCUUGGUGAUAAUUUUUGUGCAGGCUUCUUGACAUGGAAAGCAGAGCUCCCCAGCACAGAGUGAGCCUCCGAAGGGCUCCUGCCCUUACCGGUGCCCUACCCUCCCUUUCCCUGCUUGCUACACUUGGGUCCGGGACUCAGCCUCCCUUUGCAAGCUUCUGCUCGGCCUGUGUGCAGCUGCACUUAGCUGGCAGGGUCAGGCGUUGAGUAGCCGCUCCGCUCCUUCUGCAGCCUCCUGCAGCCCCCGCCAGCUCCCGGGCUCCAUCCCUCACCAUCAGUUGCUGAUUGGCGCCCCCUGCGUGCACAACGGAGGCUGGCUGCACCUGGAGGUUCCCAGCAAUUCCAGGCCGGCUCCAGCCUAGCCAAAGCAGCUAACUUCUCUGCUGUCUCGUGGGCUGAACCUCACCGUUUCCCAAGAGGAGCUGCCUGGCAAUGGUAGCAGGUGAAGGUCAUGGUGAAGAAGAUGCAGAUAUUGGCAAUUUGGAGCAUUAGAUGAACUAAUUACAACGUUAACCUAAGGAACAGUGCAACAGAAAAUGGGCUAAGACAUGGAGCAAGGGGCAGAACGACUCUUGAAGAUGCUGAGCAACUUCUGCUUAUAAAGUUGAUUCACUGACUGCUGGUUUGAAAUGGUGUCUGCUAACAAACAGUUGCUGGUACAGCUUCUCUGUAAUGUGAGGUAAAAUACCUAUAAAAGCUUAGAAGAAGAUGUAAACUCAGAACACAGCCAUAAACUUGGACUGACAAUCCCCUGAAGACUGGAUCUGGGAGGACUUUUUGCCAAUAGUACUGCCAAUGAAACUGAAAAGAAAAGAACAUUCUAUGGGUGUGGGUGUGUUACUGAGGAAAUGCUCUGUAGGCAAGAGAAGUCCAGGAAGAAGUUGCACAGAAUACUAUUUUAGUCUACCAGAACCACGGUUAGUAAAGCCUGCUGGAAUGUGGAGCUGAUCUAGGAGCUGUGGGCAUUCAGCUGGUGAGUUAUGAAAUGGGAAAAGUUCCCUUAUCCCACUAGCAGGGUGUGUGAUGGGGGGAGUGACUCGUUUCUUUGGUGCCUGCAGCUCAAACCUCUAGGGGGAGUAUGCAGAUGGGCAGAUCGUGGGGAUCAUGGACUCCAACCCCACAGCAGUGUCUAGGGUUGGGUGUUUACAGCUCUGGAAGCCCCAGUGUGUUACAGUGUGCUCUUUCAGCUUAGAUAUCUGCAGGCGGCUUGUGUUAAUCAGCUCAAUCAGACCCUCUGCCUUAUCACAAGGACAUAGGGCUUUCUGUAUCCCGGGGUUCUUGCAGUAGUGUACUGGAAAAAUCAGAUCACGUGUUGGCAUGGAGAAUGAGUGCAAGGUUUUAUUGAGUGGUAGAAGUAGCUCUCAGCAGAUGGAUGGGGAGCAUGAGAGGGAUGGAGUGGGAAAGUGGUCUUCCCUUGGGUCAGGCUGCUCUGUGGCUGGGCUAUCCUCCAACUGUCCUCAGCCAAAUUCCACGUCAUCCCACCAUCAAUGGCCUGCCAGUGUCUGUUGGUGUGUUCUUCUGCCUGUGUGUUUCUCUUGACAUCCACACACUUGUGUGUAUGCCUGCUAGGGUCUCGGGGGCUAUAUAGGCACAGAAUAGGGGGCAUGGCAGGCCAGAGAGAUCUUGGAAAAUGCAACAUUUGGAUCUGAAAACAGGAGUGCCUGUCCUCCCCUGGGUUCGUGAGACUCAGACAAUUUAUUUCCUGAUUAUUGAUUGGGGGUGAGUGGGAGAAGGGAAAGUAUCUGAGGACAUAUUCUACAUUACCAAAAUUGAUUACAAAUGAAGAGGCCAAGAAUGAGAAAGGCAGGGCCUGAAGAGCCUGAUGGAUCUGCCUUCACUCAAAUUGGACUCCACUCUCAGGAUUUCAGUCAUGGUGCAGUUGUGUAUCCAAGGGCAAAGCUUGGCCUCGAUGUGAUACCCUCAUUGGUUUUGCUCUUCCUCCAACUUUCAGGGGAAUGUGUUUCCAGAAUCCUUUAUUCCACCUUUGAUGUGAAAAUUGGGUCCAUGAUUACAAAUGGCUGAUCCAUGUGGGGCUUAAUGCCUAGGUGACGGGUUGAUAGGUGCAGCAAACCACCAUGGCACACGUUUACCUGUGUGGAGCCCUCACUGGGGACCCCACCCUUCUCUACCCAGCAUUUUCUGCCCCCCUCCCAUAUCUGUUACACCUUGAAACAGAAGAUUUGACCAGAAGGAAGUAGGGUCAAGGAACAUUCAUCCUUGAGGUCUUCUGGUAAACACUAGACUUUGAUACAUUUUAUUUUAUUUGGGGAUGAGAAAACUACAAAACAUGAAGAAUAUGAGCCUCAACAAGGACAGCAAUCACAGUGGAGAAAUAUUGAGCACUGGUCAUCCAAAAUUAUUGUGAAAGCUCCCAGCAAGAUCAAAUCCUUGACACCCAUCUGCUGAAGGAAAUAGAUUUUUGUUUUAAGGAAAUUAUUUGGAGUCCUGAGAUUCAAGGACAAACCUUGCAUCUCAUCUCUUUUGGAUUUCUGUUGGAAAUAGGACAAAUGUUUCAAAGAAAGAACAAAAUGUCAUGUAAAAAGAACUGGAUAAGAUAAGGAAGAAUUUAUAGGCAGCCAAAAGUGCAACAGCAGAAUUACAUUAGCAUUAACAAGCAGUGGAAAACUUAAUUGAGAUUAUGGAAAAUCAUAUUGUAUUAUAAGGGACAAAUUUUAGAACUCUCCUAGAAAGUAUGGGACAGAGAUGAAAAUGAUGAGAGAGCAUGUGUUUGUUUAAAAAGUCUGAGAUAGUAGCUUUAACUUAAGAAUUAUAAGUCUUUCUACUUGAGAGAGAAAAGACAAAUAAAAAAUACUUCCAAAAAAAUUCCUACUUAUAAAAACCAAUGUAUAAAUGUUAAAAUUGGUUCUUUAAGUUACAAGUAAUGUUAGUAAAACAAGCAGCAAAA